CCUGGUAGCUCAGUUGGUAAAGAACCUGCCUGAAUUGCAGGAGACCCAGGUUCAAUCCCUGGGUCAGGA
rnacentral:tRNA from 1 species